rnacentral:tRNA from 1 species
GGGACUUUAGCAAAGGUGGUCAAUGCGCCGGACUGAAAAUCCGAAGAUCGUGGUUCGACUCCACGGAGUCCCGC